rnacentral:lncRNA from 1 species
GGAAUAACAAUGCGGCGUUGGCUAUUUAUCCCUCGAGGACAAUGUUGCCCUAACACAUAAUAAAACCUCUGCUUUUUAGCUUCUUGAAAUGAUAGAUCUCUUAGUAAAUCAUGCAUUUUGCAGUACUUUAUAUUCCCGACUGCCCCCAACCAACCAACUAGAAUGAGGUUUCUGUCAACUAGCUCCUUCAAAUACUCCUUGGCAAUUGUUUUCGAGCUUUUAUUGAUUAUUGGUUUGAGAAAGCCUUCAGAAACCCAUAACUUCAUGAGUUCUGCAACCCUAAUUUCCUCAUCUUCCCCAAACAUCCCCAUGUACAAAAAACAAGGCUUCAGAUAGGCAGGCAAAUGGUCAUAGCUCAGUUUCAAUACUCUCAAGCAAUAUUCAUCAUUCUCAGAAUUCACUAUUGAGCUUAUGUUUUCCUCUAUGUGCUCCCAAUAUUCCGGUGUAAGUUCGGACUUUGCCAAAAGACCCCCAAUCACAGCAAUCGACAAAGGAAGUCCCUUACACUUCCCCACAAUUUUCUUUCCGAUUUCCUCGAGAUGAAGAGGAAAACCCUCAUCCCCAAAUACAGUUUUGGAGAACAAAUUCCAGCUACAAACAUCAUCUAAAAAUCUCAUACCAAUGCUGUUAGAGUUUGUCAACUCAGUAGCCAAGUUUGAGAGCCUAGUCGUUACAAUUACUCGACUCCCAUCAUUGUAAUCGGGAAAGAAAAACCUCAUCUUGUACCACACCUCUACACUCCACAUAUCAUCCAAUAUUAUAAUAUACCUCCUACCGUAUAAAUACUUGUACAAUUUUUCUCCCAAUUCGUUCUCACUCAGAUCACUACCCAAAUUUCCAGUUACUUGGUGAAGAACUUGACUAAAUGUUUCUCUAACAUUAUAAGUUUGAGAAAUUGUAGUCCACGCACGAAUAUCAAAAUGCUCCUUAACAAGGGAAUGCUCAAAUAUAUGUCUGGCAAGAGUGGUCUUACCAAUCCCGCCNUUUUUCUUUUCUAUUCAUGAAUCAUGGGAACUAUUGUUUCUGGUAGUCAUUUAUGUACCAUCAGAUCAAUAUGUUAAAUUGGGUGUCUCCAUUGUGUGCAGGGUUUUUUUCACAAUUAUGACUGAUAAACGAGACAGGGUGGACAAGUUAUCAAAUACACUGCAAUGUUUUGUUAGCUUGUGGGAACUACAAUGGUGUUAUUGGUAAAAUAGAUUAAAAAAUAAGGACAUAAUAGGCAAACUAAAUUUGUGAUUAUUGGUGUUAUUGGUGUUAUUUAAAAGUGUGAUUGGAAUGAGAUUAUUGUAUGUUUGUUAUUAGAAUAAUAUGAUACUAUUACAUUAUUGCACUCCUUUGAGCGUCUCUAGAUUCUCCAUCAUAACAUCACUGUGCCCGCUCCGAGGAUCUGGGAGAUACAUUCCUCGAUAUCCGAACUCAACAUGCUUAAGUUGAUGCAUUUUCCAAAUUUCUACUUGUACAGUCUUACGUUCACCCACCCAAUAAGAAACAAUUAGUGUGUGUAGAUUCCAGAGCAGACUAAUUGAAUUAGGGAUUCGGAACCCCUCACAAAAUGCAGCCGAAAGAUACCUCACCAAUUGUUGGGGGAUUAUUAACUAUAACAUGAAAGGAUGGGUCCCCUUGUAAUUCCUCUUGUUCCUCUACUAUCUUUUUCAAAGACACAGCCAUUGAUUCACUGCAUCUCCACAAUACAAUUGAUUUGAGUGUUGGUAUUUCUCCAAUUUCUGAAGGGAACUUCUCCAACGACUGCAUCUGAGAGAGCUCAAGUUGCUCAAGGCGUGGCAAGCAGGAGCCCUCUAACGUCCAACAUUCCAUAUCCUUACACUCCAUUAACCACAAGUAUUUGAGGCUGGGGAAUUGGCCUUCAACUAUUUCCCAACUGCGUCUUGCAAACUGCCCACCGAGCAGUUCGAGCUUCUCAAGAAGUGGUAAUGAACCUAUCUUUUCCAGAAUUUCCUCCAAAUCGAACAUUUCGCAUUGAAGACACAGCUUCUUGAGUGAGUGCGGGAAGCUAAUACUCUGCAGAUACUCAUCACCUCCAUCAUCAAUAAUGCAUGUCAAGCUUUCCAGCUUACUCAGACAUUGAAGAUAGCUGAGGCACUUCACUCUCUCCAUUACUUUAUCCUCGUAUAUUAUCCACAGUUUCUUGAUAUUGGGAAUUCUCUUCACCAUUUCUUCAUUCAAGUUGAAAUCAAUCACUCCUUUGAGCGUCUCUAGAUUCUCCAUCAUAACAUCACUAUGCCCGCUCGGAGGAUCUGGGAGAUACCUUCCUCCAUUUCUGAACUCGACAUGCUUAAGCUGAUGCAUUUUCCAAAUUUCUACUGUUGCAGUUAUAGGUUCCCAAUAAGAAACAAUUAGUGUGUGUAGAUUCCAGAGCAGACUAAUUGAAGAAGGGAUUUGGAACCGCUUACCAGAUUUAGCCCAAAGGCACCUCAAGUUCACCGAUUGAAACACAAUUUCUUUUGAAUACCCUUCGGAAUGCUUAUAUGUCCUCAAAAACCUGAAAUCUAGCAAUUCUGGAACUGUAUCAGCAUGACAUAUGAAAGAACGAGCACGUGACGACAUAGUUUCCAUGGCAUCCCGGACUGUCAUAGCUGAAGUGCUUCUGGGAAUAACAAUGCGGCGUUGGCUAUUUAUCCCUGGAGGACAAUCUUGCCCUAACACAUAAUAAAACCUCUGCUUUUCAGCUUCUUGAAAUGAUAGAUCUCUCACUAAAUCAUGCAUUUUGCAGUACUUUAUAUUCCCAACUGCCCCCAACUUAUGAACUAGAAUGAGGUUUCUAUCGACUAGCUCCUUCAAAUACUCCUUGGCAAUUGUUUCCAAGCUUUUAUUGAUUAUUGGUUUGAGAAAGCCUUCAGAAACCCAUAGCCUCAUGAGUUGCGCCUAAUUCCUCAUCUUCCCCAAACAUCCCCAUGUACAAAAAACAAGGCUUCAGAUAGGCAGGCAAAUGGUCAUAGCUCAGUUUCAAUACUCUCAAGCAAUAUUCAUCAUUUUCCGAAUUCACUAUUGAGCUUAAGUUUUUCUCUAUGUGCUCCCAAUACUCCAAUGUAAGUUCGGACUUUGCCAAAAGACCCCCAAU